rnacentral:rRNA from 1 species
UACGUAGGGGGCAAGCGUUGUCCGGAAUCAUUGGGCGUAAAGAGCGUGUAGGCGGCUCGGUAAGUCCGCUGUGAAAGUCCAGGGCUCAACCCUGGAAUGCCGGUGGAAACUGUCGAGCUAGAGUCCGGAAGAGGCGAGUGGAAUCCUGGUGUAGCGGUGAAAUGCGCAGAUAUCAGGAAGAACACCCGUGGCUAAGGCGGCUCUCUAGUACGGUACUGACGCUGAGACGCGAAAGCGUGGGGAGCGAACAGG